AACGAACGCUGGCGGCAGGCUUAACACAUGCAAGUCGAGCGCCCCGCAAGGGGAGCGGCAGACGGGUGAGUAACGCGUGGGAAUCUACCCUUUUCUACGGAAUAACGCAGGGAAACUUGUGCUAAUACCGUAUACGCCCUUCGGGGGAAAGAUUUAUCGGGAAAGGAUGAGCCCGCGUUGGAUUAGCGAGUUGGUGGGGUAAAGGCCUACCAAGGCGACGAUCCAUAGCUGGUCUGAGAGGAUGAUCAGCCACGUUGGGACUGAGACACGGCCCAAACUACUACGGGGGGCAGCAAUGGGGAAUAUUGUACAAUGGGCGCAAGCCUGAUCCAGCCAUGCCGCGUGAGUGAUGAAGGCCCUAGGGUUGUAAAGCUCUUUCACCGGUGAAGAUAAUGACGGUAACCGGAGAAGAAGCCCCGGCUAACUUCGUGCCAGCCGCCGCGGUAA
rnacentral:rRNA from 1 species